CUUUUACCAAAAUAACCAUAACUGUAUUUUUAUAUGCAGAGCACAACUGGACAUUGAAAAAUUGACAAUGUGUCAUUAUGAUAAUGAAUACUCGGAGGCGUAAAAGUAGUGCGGAAUAAUGUGUAUGCAGUUUUGACAGCUGAAGUAGAUGGCGCUGUACGGCCCUAUACAUUUUGUAACCCUAUUACUUUCAACCUAGUUUUUGAGUUAUCAAAACUGGGGCUAAAGUGUUGCACUAUUUUACGCGUCUUAGUAUUCGUCUUAUUCAUACAUAACCAAUGUUUCAAUUUCCUUUUUUCCGUGGUUUUGUGUUGAUAUGCAAUAAACUCUUUUCUUUUCGUUUAGAUUUUUAUUAAACAACUGAUACAUUA